rnacentral:rRNA from 1 species
UACGUAGGGUGCGAGCGUUGUCCGGAAUUACUGGGCGUAAAGAGUUCGUAGGCGGUUUGUCGCGUCGUUCGUGAAAACUUGGGGCUUAACUCCAAGCGUGCGGGCGAUACGGGCAGACUUGAGUACUACAGGGGAGACUGGAGUUCCUGGUGUAGCGGUGAAAUGCGCAGAUAUCAGGAGGAACACCGGUGGCGAAGGCGGGUCUCUGGGUAGUAACUGACGCUGAGGAACGAAAGCGUGGGUAGCGAACAGG